UAGAAGUCAGGUCGGAUUAAGCCAUAGUACGGAAAAAACUAUGCUACCUGUGAGCCCCGUCCAAGGACGUUAAAAGAAGUCAGGCCACUACAAGUGCCAUAGCUUGAGCAAACUAUGCAGCCUGUAGCUCCACCUGGGAAGGUGUAAAAAAUCUGGGAGGCCACAAACCAUGGAAGCUGUACGCAUGGCGUAGUGGACUAGCGGUUAGAGGAGACCCCUCCCUUGCAAGUCGCAGCAACAAUGGGGGCCCAAGGUGGGAUGAAGCUGUAAUCUCACUGGAAGGACUAGAGGUUAGAGGAGACCCCCCCGAAAUAAAAAACAGCAUAUUGACGCUGGGAA
rnacentral:lncRNA from 1 species